GGGAUUUUCCGCAAUGGGCGAAAGCCUGACGGAGCAAUACCGCGUGAGGGAGGAAGGCUCUUGGGUUGUAAACCUCUUUUCUCAGGGAAGAAAAAAAUGACGGUACCUGAGGAAUAAGCAUCGGCUAACUCCGUGCCAGCAGCCGCGGUAAUACGGAGGAUGCAAGCGUUAUCCGGAAUGAUUGGGCGUAAAGCGUCCGCAGGUGGUUAUGUAAGUCUGCUGUUAAAUAGUCAUGCUCAACAUGAUAAGGGCAGUGGAAACUACAAGACUAGAGUGCGUUCGGGGCAAGGGGAAUUCCUGGUGUAGCGGUGAAAUGCGUAGAGAUCAGGAAGAACACCGGUGGCGAAGGCGCCUUGCUAGGCCGCAACUGACACUGAGGGACGAAAGCUAGGGGAGCGAAUGGGAUUAGAUACCCCAGUAGUCCCUAGCYGUAAACGAUGGAUACUAGGUGUGGCUUGUAUCGACCCGAGCCGUACCGUAGCUAACGCGUUAAGUAUCCCGCCUGGGGAGUACGCACGCAAGUGUGAAACUCAAAGGAAUUGACGGGGGCCCGCACAAGCGGUGGAGUAUGUGGUUUAAUUCGAUGCAACGCGAAGAACCUUACCAAGGCUUGACAUGUCGCGAAUCCCGGUGAAAGCUGGGAGUGCCUUCGGGAGCGCGAACACAGGUGGUGCAUGGCUGUCGUCAGCUCGUGUCGUGAGAUGUUGGGUUAAGUCCCGCAACGAGCGCAACCCUCGUUUUUAGUUGCCAGCAUUAAGUUGGGCACUCUAGAGAGACUGCCGGUGACAAACCGGAGGAAGGUGGGGAUGACGUCAAGUCAGCAUGCCCCUUACGCCUUGGGCUACACACGUACUACAAUGCUCCGGACMGAGGGCAGCAAGCGCGCGAGUGCAAGCUAAUCCCAUAAACCGGAGCUCAGUUCAGAUCGCAGGCUGCAACUCGCCUGCGUGAAGUCGGA
rnacentral:rRNA from 1 species